UGGGGAAUAUUGGACAAUGGGCGAAACCCUGACCCAGCAACGCCGCGUGAAGGAUGAAGUAUUUCGGUAUGUAAACUUCGAAAGAAUAGGAAGAAUAAAUGACGGUACUAUUUAUAAGGUCCGGCUAACUACGUGCCAGCAGCCGCGGUAAUACGUAGGGACCAAGCGUUGUUCGGAUUUACUGGGCGUAAAGGGCGCGUAGGCGGCAUGACAAGUCACUUGUGAAAUCUCUGGGCUUAACCCAGAACGGCCAAGUGAUACUGUCGCGCUAGAGUGCAGAAGGGGCAAUCGGAAUUCUUGGUGUAGCGGUGAAAUGCGUAGAUAUCAAGAGGAACACCUGAGGUGAAGACGGGUUGCUGGGCUGACACUGACGCUGAGGCGCGAAAGCCAGGGGAGCAAACGGGAUUAGAUACCCUUGUAGUCCCUGAGCGGGCUGGCAAGGCGCAU
rnacentral:rRNA from 1 species